UACAGAGGUCUCAAGCGUUGUUCGGAUUUACUGGGCGUAAAGGGUGCGUAGGCGGCGCGGUAAGUCGGGUGUGAAAUCUCGGAGCUUAACUCCGAAACUGCAUUCGAUACUGCCGUGCUUGAGGACUGGAGAGGAGACUGGAAUUCAUGGUGUAGCAGUGAAAUGCGUAGAGAUCAUGAGGAAGACCAGUGGCGAAGGCGGGUCUCUGGACAGUUCCUGACACUGAGACACGAAGGCCAGGGGAGCAAACGGG
rnacentral:rRNA from 1 species